UGAGAGGUAGCCGAAAAUCUUUAAGAGUAGGUG
rnacentral:ncRNA from 1 species